rnacentral:lncRNA from 1 species
UCUGCCUUGGAGGGUAGAUUAUCAGAAUGGAAGCCACUGGCUCCAUGAUAUGUAUAUAUAAUCGUGGUAACUGUUGACAAUUGCCCUUCAAAAGUAGCUAUUCCUCUUAGCAUUUUAUCUGCAGGUAUUUCAUUGAUUUCUGCUGUCAGUCUUUAUAAAGUGAUGAAGAAUUCUUGGCUCCUUCUCCAGAACAAUAUCUGCAUGCAUGCCACCACACUUUCUACUGUGACAAUAAUGGAGUGAUUCUUUGAACUGUAACCAGCCUCAAUGAAAUGGUUUCCUUUAUAAGUAUUACUGUGAUCAUGGUGUCUCUUCCCAGCAAUAGAAACUAGGACCAAGACAACUGUACUCACAGGAAGCAUCUAAAACAGGCAAAUUCAUAGAAGCAGACAGAAUGGUGGUUGCUGCAGACUUGAAGAAGGGACAAAUGGAGAGUUGCUGUUCAAAGUAAAAAGUUUCACCUUCAGAAGAUGAAUAGACCCUAGAGAGCUGGUAUUUCACAUCAUGUCCAUAGUAUCAAGGCUGUUGGGAUUCUGAGGAUGGGAUAACUAUCUCAUCACUUCAUUCUUGACUCUAAAGA